CCUCCCCAAUCCCCACCGAUGGGGUCAAAAAAAAAAAAUCUCCAGCUCACAUCCUCCGCCCAGGAGCGGGCGGCUCCUCCCCCUCCCAGACCGAGUUCCUCUGCCGUGGGUGGCUUGCUGCCUGCAGCUCCUCAUGAAAGCUUCUCCUCUCCCGGGCCGCUCUGCUGCCUCCCGAGGGGGCCAUCGACGCGCGUGGCGGCGCGGUGGAGGAGCCCGAGGCUUGAUGGCGGAACUCCUGUGUGGAGGCCUUCCGACACCUCCAGCCAAGUCCCCUGCGUGGACGCCAGCAGAGCCCACCUCCUCCAUGUGCCAGAAGGGAUCAGUACCACCGGAGGAGAGCAGAGGGGAGGCGCGGCGUCGCCGAUCUCCGUCAAAUCCCCUGCAGGGUUCUCCCCCUCUUCACCUCCUCCUCUGCCUCUCGGGGUCACAGCCUGGGUCGUCCCUAUGGUCUGCACCACUGUGCCCCUGCUUCUCCACUCCCCCGUGGUCGUCCUCUCCCCUCCACAUAUGCCUCCCACCGCCCAGGUCCGCAGCACCGUCGCUGCUCUGCGUUGUCGCCAAGGUCACGUGCCGCCUGAAAUGCCCUCGGCAUGGAGGUACUCCACUACUACCCCGCGAGGCCUCAGGAGGGAGUCGGGGUGGAGGCGAUGCCGUCGGCAUGGAGGCAGGAUGACAAGCAGGGAGCGGCUAGGACGGAGACAACCACGUCGACCACGAUUCCAGCGGCUACGCGGGUCUUUACGCAGGGAGGAUUUUGAUCUUCGCCGGUGCGUCCUCGGCUCCACGGCUACCACCAGACGGGUACUCUGGCCACCUGCACGACUUUGACUCCGCUACCAGAUUCGAGCGUUUAAAGGAGUGGCGGGGGGUUCAGGUUGAGCACCACCAUCGCAACCCUGCUGGCUUACUCGGUGGUUCUAUUCAUGCUCAACAAGGAAAGGAGACUCCAGGUCCUGAGACGCUUUUGCUGCAGAGAUCGUAUGAAUUGUCCAUCAGUUCGUUAUACCUAGAAGACAAAGGAAUUGGAACUUUUUUUUGGAUGUCCGCCUGCUAUUAGCAAAUGGCACCCCUGAAAAUAAAUUGGUCGGUUGUUCCUUUGCUUAUCUAAAAAGUAACAAUUCGGAUUCAGGUACAAGUCUGCUAUUGAUUCAAGCAGAUGCAGACAGGACAAACAAUUUCAGGUCACUUCCUUGCAAUGUUUUUGCUUACAAUUAGUGUUAAGAUUUUUUGCUACUUAGAUACUUUCAUUAUGAAACUCCUUUCUUACAAUUCCCUGUUUGUAAAUGUUAAGUUUUCUAUUUCCAACAAUACUCUGGCCUCUUGGCCUACCUUUGCCUGAUGUUGCUUCUUCACAUGUUCUCAUGGGUUCUUCAUUGGUUGUGCAUGUGUUGUCGGGGGGUGGAAGCACGAAGAGGAGAGAUCUGUUUGGGCAAGCUGCCGGUCGACAAUGUGCUUCAUGGUCGCACUGUCAGGUAUUAUAAGUCCCACUCAACUUUGUUUCUCCAGAAAAUAUACAAGAGUGCAUCAGGCUAAAGGGCAUAGAGUGAAUGAAGAGAAGCUAGAGAUAUAAACUGGCCCAACUUUGCGGAAGAAAUUGCUUCCUCUUCAUCUGUUGGUCUAGGUUCUCUUUCUGAUGCAGAAACUUGGGGGCGUGAGCUUUCAUUGGGAAAGAGGCUGGUUGUUGAUACAUCCCAUGGUCAUGCUGAUUUUGGAAGCAUUGGAAUAUAUUCCAGAGCAGAUGUUUCUCAUGGGUUAUUUGUUGUACAGGCUGCCGGUCUGCCGAUUCAGUGAACAGUCUUCUCAUCGUUCUCCUGGUUCUGGUUCUUACUGAAAAUAUCAUGUUUCCUGCUUAUUCUCGCAUUUCUCGCAUUGCACUAUCAUGUGCCAACAGAUUUAAGCUACGUGACUUCGAAAUAUAGGUGUUGUUAGUAGUUUUUAAUGGAACCUUUUGCAGUUAUAAAUUCUGGCUCUGUAAAUGCUAUGUGCUAUGCACUGAAAAUAUCAGAUUUCCUAUUGACUUUGGUGCUUGAGUUUUUGGUGUCUGAUGAUGCCUGGCUGUAAGGUGCGAGUAUUUCUACUGAAUUCUUCUGCUGUUAUGAGUUCUGCAUAUGUGAAUGUUAUUUUGUGUGCCAAUGGAAGUUCAUGAGGUGAACAUGGUCGAUACUCGAUAGGAGCUUGAGAGUUGAUUAUGUCAGGUCACUGUUUAGGGCUGCUCCAGCACUAUUGAUGAUAAUAGUUUGGCAUGACCAGGUUUUUUACUCAGGAAGAACUAUCUGAGGUGGUGCGAAUUUUAUGAGGCAAUGAAGACAGGCCCAAAAGCUAGAGAAUUAUACCAUUGGUGCCGAGUUCUGUCUUGGUCGGGAUUGACGCCCAACACUCACCAGGAAGUUUUGGUGGGAUAAUAUUCUAGAUGAGGAUAGACGGCGACAACUGAAUUGAUCAUUGACGUUUGCACUACAGACCAGAACUUACAUUAACAGUGCAUAUCUCAAACAAGUGAGUGAAUACUCGCAGGAUACAAUUCACACAGAUGAGAUCAAUAGGUCCAAGACAUUAUUUUGCAACGUAUGUGUGGCUGGCACAUUUUUUUUUCCUGAUUAUGAUGGUUGGUGUAUAGACUUAUCAGUGGUUUAUGUUGGAAUUUCGACACUGGUGCCCUGUAUCGAAGCCUUUUGUAGUUCUUUGUUUUGUUUGUGCAGAUACCGUUCUAUGUAAUUAGUAUGAGUUGUUUACAAGCUGUGACACAACCGAUAGAGCUUGAUGGACGCUUUUUAUUACGACAUUUUAGAGAUGACCUAGGUUUUUUCCCUGUCA